UACCGAGGUCCCAAGCGUUGUUCGGAUUCACUGGGCGUAAAGGGUGCGUAGGUGGGCAGGUAAGUCAGUGGUGAAAUCUCCGGGCUUAACUCGGAAACUGCCAUUGAUACUAUCUGUCUUGAAUACCGUGGAGGUUAGCGGAAUAUGUCAUGUAGCGGUGAAAUGCUUAGAUAUGACAUAGAACACCAAUUGCGAAGGCAGCUGGCUACACGAAUAUUGACACUGAUGCACGAAAGCGUGGGGAUCAAACAGG
rnacentral:rRNA from 1 species